rnacentral:tRNA from 1 species
CCCUGGUUAGAUCAGUUGGCAGAGCGCUACACGUGUAAUGGAGAGGUCCCGGGUUCGAUACCCGGUCCAGGCG